UUAUCUUAUGUAGCACUUGAAGAGAUCUCUAACAACAAAAAGCUAUCUUCCUAGAUUUCCUGGGCUUGGGAUCCUUGGUCUGUAAAGAUACAUUGUCAUAAACAGGGUGCUAUCUAAUUCAGAGGAAACAAGUCAGUUUGGAAAAGAGAUUCCCUGGCCUGUGCAGUCCUUGAUUAUGUGCUAGCUGGUGUCUCCCUUCUCCAGAGUGCUAUUCCUGCCCCACAUGGGUACUGCUGGCCGCCACACUGGCUGAAUUAACU